UGGUUUAAUUCAUGUAAUAAUUGGUUUGAGUAGUUUUAGCCCUUGUUUGACAUAAUUUUUUUAAAAAGAAAGAAUUUUUGAAUAGCAACUUUUUUAUCAAUGUGUGGUUAAAAGUAGAAAAAAGUUUAAGGUUUACAUGAAAAAUAUUUUAUUAUGAGAAUGUGUGAUUGAAAAUGAGUAUGAAAAAUAGAAUUUUGAAAUAAUGGUGUUACCGAACUGGGACUUAGCCUAUAUUUGGUUCAUGUUUAUCAAUUAAAUAUAGUAAUACUACUUACUUAUUCAUUAUCUAUUUUCAUCUAUUUAUAAUUUAAAUAGUUUAUAAUUACUUUCAAAAUAUGCUUUUAAUCUGUACAUUCAACAUCAAAUUUAACACUGAAAGUAUUAUCGAGCUAGAAAUAAUUCAUUGCACAAUGAGGAAUUGAUAUAACUAAAAAAUAAUUAUGUGGCCACAUUAAAGAAUUGGUGGAUAAAGGGCACCAAAUUCUGGCUUGAUACCAACAGUUACAGUUAUUGCAGUUAAAUUGUUCUGUGUGUUUUAGAAAACAAACAGCUUCACCGUAUUUUUCAGCAAUCCAAGAUAUACUCUCUCUCUCGCUCUCUCUCUGGAGUUCUGUAGAAUAUCUAUUCUUUUUUCUACCAAAGCAAAGAAAAAAGAGCGUCCCUUUGUUAUUCAAUAGCUGUAGCCACUCUCCCCAAGUCUCGGAGGUCAAUGACGUCUUGCCCUGCUAAUUAAAGGUAAUAUAUAUUUCCCGUCAACACACUCUCAAGAACUAUAUAUGUAUGUAUAUGAAAUAUGUAGUAUAUAAAUGUUCAAAUUGAAUAUGUUGUUAAUGAUUAAUUAUUAAAGCUACCUGACUCCCAAGAAAAAAAAAGAUUAACCUUAUUGUGGACCUUUCUUAUCUGUUUGUUAAUUUCUUGAAGUAGUCAAUUUAUUCUUUUUAUAAACCUGGUCCGCACAAUUCCAUAUUUUUAUCUGAGGUCUUGGGUUUGAUAAAUUUUGUUAAUUUUAGUAAGGAUUAUUGGUUAGUGGGUGAGAUACUUCGAAAUUUUAG
rnacentral:lncRNA from 1 species